UUUGGGUGGGCUUAGGCCGCUUAUUUUAAAAACGAGCCAGUCUUUAGCAACAAAAUGAGGUUUGUAUUUCAAGUGGGGUCGGGUCUAAACAAAUUUGAAGUUUAUUUAUAUGUUGUCUAGAUUUGAUCCAAUCCAACCGAACUCAAUUUGUAUAAUGGAUAGGCCUACUUUUAUUUAUGAUCUAUAAACAUAGAAAUUGAUUUCAAUUAUAAUAAUAGAAAUAAUUUUUAAAAUUUUUUAAACAUAAUCAAGAAAAAAUAAUGGUAAAGAAAAGAUAUUGAAAGAUAAUUUAAAGCUAUUAAAUUUUAAUAAAUUACUAAUCUACGUUAUAUCUAUUAUUUUUAAUUAUAUUAAUAUUUUUAGAAAGUAAAAUUAUACUCAAUUUAAUUUUAUAUCAUUUCUAAUAAGUAUUUAGGAUAUUUAUAUUUGGGUUAAUUUGACCUCGAAUUAUUUUGAAUUCAGAUUAAUUAGGUUUUAAAUCAUUUAGAGAUUAGGUCAAUUAUGAUUCGAUUCAAUUUUAUUUUGAAUUGAAUGGGUUCAAGUUAUUAAUUUAUUUGUUAAAUCAGAUCUAUCAAGCAUUGAUGAGUUAUAUAGAUAUUUCAAGUUCGAAUCAAUGUUGUCAAUAUUAUAAUAACAAAAUAUUUGAAAAUAGUUUUAGCGAUAAAAUAUUGGACAACAUGAAAGAUUUUUUUUCGUAGAACAAUUGAAGCAUGAAAGUUUUACGAAUAAUUUAGAAAGUCAACUUUAAAAUCAACAUAUCAACCCUUCUCAGAUAAAUUAUCGUGACAAUAAAUUAAUGAUUUCCCAAGUCGCUUAUUAAUUGACAAAGAAAUGAACUCUCCAACUAAAAAUUAAAAGCUAAGAAAUCCAUAAGUGCAUUUCACAGAGGGUCUAAUAUGUAAGGGAAAAGCAAGCAUGCGACGAGAAGAAGUUAAACAUGUACUUGAUUCCAAAAAAUAUAUGAUAGAAGAAAACACAUACCCGGCUUGAAUUUCUUGUGUUUUUUGAAUGAUCAAGAAGCUUGGAAAAAAGAAAUGAUUUUAGCUCAUUCCACCAAAGAAACCAGAUUUACCAAGUCUGUACGACUUGUUAAUGCUUUGCAAGGAUGAAUUUUUAUGUUCAGAGAUUUUGUGAAAAUUCAGAGAAUUAGAACUAUCAGAA
rnacentral:lncRNA from 1 species